rnacentral:rRNA from 1 species
CAAUCGAACCUGGAGAUAGCUGGUUCUCUCCGAAAUAGCUUUAGGGCUAGCCUCAAGUGAUGAUUAUUGGAGGUAGAGCACUGUUUGGACGAGGGGCCCCUCUCGGGUUACCGAAUUCAGACAAACUCCGAAUGCCAAUUAAUUUAACUUGGGAGUCAGAACAUGGGUGAUAAGGUCCGUGUUCGAAAGGGAAACAGCCCAGACCACCAGCUAAGGUCCCAAAAUAUAUGUUAAGUGGAAAAGGAUGUGGCGUUGCCCAGACAACUAGGAUGUUGGCUUAGAAGCAGCCAUCAUUUAAAGAGUGCGUAAUAGCUCACUAGUCGAGUGACACUGCGCCGAAAAUGUACCGGGGCUAAACAUAUUACCGAAGCUGUGGAUUGUCCUUUGGACAAUGGUAGGAGAGCGUUCUAAGGGCGUUGAAGCAUGAUCGUAAGGACAUGUGGAGCGCUUAGAAGUGAGAAUGCCGGUGUGAGUAGCGAAAGACGGGUGAGAAUCCCGUCCACCGAUUGACUAAGGUUUCCAGAGGAAGGCUCGUCCGCUCUGGGUUAGUCGGGUCCUAAGCUGAGGCCGACAGGCGUAGGCGAUGGAUAACAGGUUGAUAUUCCUGUACCACCUAUAAUCGUUUUAAUCGAUGGGGGGACGCAGUAGGAUAGGCGAAGCGUGCGAUUGGAUUGCACGUCUAAGCAGUAAGGCUGAGUAUUAGGCAAAUCCGGUACUCGUUAAGGCU